UAGAGCAGCGAGAGAAACGCUCAGUCAUCUGAAUCUCAUCCCCUUUCUCCUACCUCUCCUCUGUAUCUAUCUCUUCCUCCCCCAAAUUCCUUCCCGUGUCGCCGAUCUCCAGCGAUCGGUCGUCACACCCCCACCCGUCCGCCGCCGCACACCUCGAAGACGACCGGUAAGGGUAUUGCUUGCGGCAGCGCUAGCUCGUCGACGACCGUCACUGGGGGCCAGAGAUGGAAGAUGCAGGGAUGGAGUUCCUCCUCGAUGCCGUUGACAGGUUCCCACUAGUUGAGGAAUUCGCGGACAGCCAUGAGCACCCAAAUCUGGUUCCUCUGGUUUUGUUGGCGAGCGGCGGAGUAGGAGAUGCAGUCCCUGGUGUAUCCAGUGCUGGCUCUGGUUGUGUUCAGCAAAUCGGCGGCCACGGAAAUGGCGAUGCGCGUGCUGGGGUCCAACGACGACCGGAGUCAUCCUCAACGAGGUCUGCGCAGUCGACUCAAGAGUCAAUCCGUAGGCCCCUGGGUGGACGAAAAGAUUAAGGCUGGGUAGUGCGCACCAGACAGAACACCAUGUCCGUCGAGAAUGAGUGCUAUGGAGCAGUCGGUUCGCAAAUACGUAGAGGAACCAACGGAAAGUGUUGUAAGGCCUGAACUAGGUUUGAGUUUUGAUUCACUGGGUGAGGCAUACAACUUCUGCAACUUGUAUUCAUGGGAAAUUGGCUUUGGUAUUAGAUAUGGGAAGAGUAGAUUGAAUGCAUAGAGGACCAAAUGCAUGUAGGAGAUCGUCUGUGGCUGCUCGGGCAAGCCAGAGACGGAGAAUAGCAGGUCGUGCAGAUGCGAUUGUCAGGCCUUGAUUAGGUUGCUGCAUGCUGCGGACAACAGCUGGUAUAUUACAGAGCACCGUGAGAGCCAUAACCACUCCAUGUCGUGGACGAUGGGUGAAAAGGUGCACUGGCCAUCACACACGCACAUAGAUGUGUACACUGGAUCUGAUAAAGCAGUUAAGGGAGAAUAAUGCCAAGAUGAUGAGCACACAACACAGUGAGAGUGCAAAUCACAUGCUGAAGACAUACAUGCCGCCGGCGAGUACAAUGCACGUUUUUGUGAGGCAGUACAUGAGGCUGCAGUUUGAACGCAAGCGAGAGGAAAGCUAUGAGGAGAAGAGGACGAUGAUUGGUGGAGCAGUGAGGAGGACUAAUUUGGCAAUAGAGCAUCAUGCAAGUCAGAUUUACACUAGAGCAAUGUUCUAAGAGUUCGGGCGUCUACUAAUUGAGGUAACAACCUACAAUGUCAACGAGAUAGAGAAGAUGAGGAAAUAUCUUACGGUUCACAACAACACAGAAAAAGGAGAAAAAUGGAGCAAGGCCGAGUAUGAAGUGAACAUAAAUGACGACCAAACGGAGUUUACAUGUGAAUGUGGUCAGUUCAAGCACACUGGGAUGUUGUGCAGCCAUGUUCUAAGGGCAAAUUUCCGAAGUGAUGGAAAUACGUACUUCAUUUUGAGGAGAUCCUAGCUAAGCAUAUCGUAAAGCGGUGGACAAAGGACGCGAGGGACAUACUGCCCCAGGAUCUGGUUCAGUACCAGAAGGAUGGGUGAUGCGAGCGCAGCGGCGUUCAAUCACAUGUUUGCCGGGCUGGACGCUCUGCUGUUGAGUGAUGGUUUGGGUUUCGAGGACCAAAUGGCUGGGUUAACUCCUGUUACAUUGCCUGGCAAUGGAGAGAUUGCGUAUGUGGAUGACGGGUGCCGAUAAAUGCAAUAGUACUGGACACUCUGCUAGUGUGAAUGGUCUGCAUGGUCUAGAAGCACCAGAGAAGCAUAGGGGGGUGAGGAGACCGACAAAUUGCCGAGAAAAGACGCCGUAUGAGGGACUCAGUAAGGGCAUUAGAUUUUGCAGUAUAUGUCGGCGCAAGGGGCACAUAUGAACUGCAAGCCCUGAAACCCUGAAAGAGGUGAUUACCCGAAGAAGCCACGGAAGCCCGGCAGAUGCAAGAAUUGUGGUAUGGAAGGGGACCGUCGGACCACAUGCACAAGGCCUUUGGGUGUUGCCGCAAAAUGAAGUCUGAACUUUAUGUAAUUUUUAUUGAUGUAGUUCCGAGGAUUUUCUAGUGUGUUUAUGUGAGCAUUGCUCCAUGCUUGUUCCUCAACUUCGAGAGGAGUGAUGAGAACUACCUUUAGUGAAAAACUUUUUUCCUGGAACCUGUGUAAUAUGAUGUUUGGUGAGUUAACUACUUGUGCGUGUGGGUUGCUUCGGCAGCUGAUAUUCUCAUACAAGUAUUUAUGUGCUUGCUGAAGACUCGAUUUGAACUUCAGACUCAGGUGGCAUUUUAGCCCGGUGGCAAAGAGAUGGGGUGGACAGUAUAAGCAGUAUAAGGCUGGUCAUAGUGGGGAGUAACUUAGACUAGUAACAUACAUAUGUUACUAGUCCAUGUUACUACCUUCAUAGUGUGAAGUGUCAUAGUAACAUACAUGUUUUUAUUUAUUGCUUUGUAGACUCAUUUUGUAUUGGGAACCGCUAUGUGAUCGUAACAUAUUAUGUUACUUUAUUUGUCUCUCUCUUCUUUAGUUACAUGACACAUCAUCUUUCUUCUUAUAUGACUAGCAUAAGAAAUUAAGAAUGGGUGCCACACUGUCAGUCCACUUUGGCGGCUGGGAAGCAGGAGUGAUGGGGAUAUUUUUGAGAGGAGUGGAUAUAAGCUUGGGGGGAGGGUGGGAGACGAGGGCAGGGGAGGCGUAUUUAUGUCAGGGAUGAUGCCGGCGUGGGACGGCUCAGGUGAGCUCAGAGACAAGGCUGAGCCGUGCGGCAUACUUCUGGUCUGGACGCACAGUGCUACGCGCCGUGAGAAUUGUUUUGAAUCAGGAUGAUCGAAUAGAUUGAUCGAUGGUUACAGGCCCCCUUUUAUAUGUCCCGAAGAGACACGACGAUCCCUCGAGGAGGCGUCGGUUCCAGGAGAUCGAAGGGAGACGUCGGUUUCGGGACAAACCGCAACAACGGUUUGGACAAGGGGAGAUUUUCCCCUAAUUACAGAAUUAUUUUUAACACUCCCCCUAAUCUACGCUUGACCAUGUAGAUCAUCUUCACGAUUGUCCGGGAAGCUCUAUCAUCUCAAAAGAUUCUCCUUCAAAAGUUCUUCAUAAAAUCUUUGAUGAGAUCCUGAAACAUAUACUCACAAAGAAAAAUAGCAUAAUGUGAUGUCAUUAAAA